rnacentral:rRNA from 1 species
UACGGGGGGGGCAAGCGUUGUUCGGAAUUACUGGGCGUAAAGCGUGCGUAGGCGGUUUGAUAAGUCGGGUGUGAAAGCCCCGGGCUUAACCUGGGAAUUGCAUUCGAUACUGUCUGACUCGAGUCUGGGAGAGGGAAGCGGAAUUCCGGGUGUAGCGGUGAAAUGCGUAGAUAUCCGGAGGAACAUCAGUGGCGAAGGCGGCUUCCUGGCCUAAGACUGACGCUGAGGUACGAAAGCGUGGGGAGCAAACAGG